rnacentral:rRNA from 1 species
UACGAAGGGGGCUAGCGUUGCUCGGAAUCACUGGGCGUAAAGGGUGCGUAGGCGGGUCUUUAAGUCAGGGGUGAAAUCCUGGAGCUCAACUCCAGAACUGCCUUUGAUACUGAAGAUCUUGAGUUCGGGAGAGGUGAGUGGAACUGCGAGUGUAGAGGUGAAAUUCGUAGAUAUUCGCAAGAACACCAGUGGCGAAGGCGGCAUCCUGGCCCUGUCCUGACGCUCAGGGGCGAAAGCGUGGGGAGCAAACCGG